AAUAAAGAAGAGAAAAUU
rnacentral:sRNA from 1 species